AGAGUUUCAAAGUACGUGAAACCGCUUAGAGGCAAACGGGUGGAACCGCAAUGCGUCGACCCGGGGGAUUCAACCAGGCCGUACGUCACCGGGACGAGUGCAGGUCCUGCGGAGCUAAACGGCCCGCGCCUGUGCUGGGUCUCCGGGCGGACUGGUGCACUUUCCUCGGGUUGAAGGCCACGACCGGCUCUCUUUAGCGGCGGCCAGAAAGCUAUGGCCGGGAAGGUGACCGUCGGCAUCCCGCCUUCGGUGUUACAGCCCGGUUAGAAUCUAGUGCUCGUCGGGGGGCCGAGGAAGAAUGCCGCGUUCGUGCCACCCGCCGGCCAUCCCGGCUCUGGUCCUGUGGGUUGGACUGCUUCGUCAGUGCUAUCCGACUUGGAGCUGGGAAGGGUUGGCAGGGUGCCGAGCGCUUCGGGUCAGUGGCGAAUCGGUCGGUAACCCACCCGACCCGUCUUGAA
rnacentral:rRNA from 1 species